AUGUGAACACCUGAGAAAGAUCCUGGGUCCUGUUGGCAUAUCUGAGAGUCUGUACCAGUCUUGGAUUGAAGAUCUCCAAAUUUUAAAAUGGAAACCCACAAUAUGGACACUCAGAAUUCCAGCUUUCUACUCAAACCCUAAGUCAAAGUGGAAUGUGGUCUAAUCCAUCCUAUCACUUUGUAAUGAAGUUCUGUAUACCAAGUAUGUUCCAGGCAGGUAAGAUGCAGCAGGAACAAAACAAAGUCCCUGCCCUAGCAGGCUUUAUAAUGUAGCAGGAGAGUCAGACAAUGAACAUACAGCAAGACUAAACCUAAAAGAAAAUCCAGUCAGAAGACAAGGUUGCCUUAUGUGCAAAUGCAAUGGCCAGCUUCCUGUGUGUAACUGAAAUGGAAUGAAAUGGAAUUGAAUCCAUCACUAGUGAGUUAAUACUUCUCUACUUCCUAUGUUGAAUUGUUGGCAACUUUCUAAGUUUCUGAAAACAUACCAAUAAAAAAUCUGGAGAUGAGAAACUUC